GCCGCUGCCUCCUCCUCCCAGGCCGAAGCCGGCUCCGCCUCCUCGUGAUGCCACGAGCUACAGCCUAGGAAAGAGUGGGCGGAGGCCGCAAGAAGUGAUGCGCUCAAGUCAACUCCCACUGGCAAAUGAGAACAGACCGUGUGCAUGUCUCCUCAACUCCAGAUUAGAUGAUUUCACACUGGAGCCUUAAAUGAAAGACCUGGAUGAGCACCACAUGUGCCAGCUGCUCUUUGCUGACUGGACCAAAGCUGCAGCCAAAGCUAGAGGAACUAAGGAAUGAAUAUUGCACUUGCUUCAAGCUCUGGUACAUGGAGGAAAGAACCUCUGCAGCUUCAGACUACAGCUAGUGCUUCAUGAAUAAGAGAUGAUCUGGGACCAGCUACCACUCCGGAAGUGCCGCUCUUGCCCAUGAGCCAGUAUGUCUGCCUGUCCAACCUGGAACCCAUGGCCACUCCAGUUUGGCAAAAUGUCUGCUUGACUACCUGGUCUUUUCACGGUUAUCUUGAAGCUCCAGGGUGUUUUUCCAUGGGCCAGAACUUUGCUUUAUAAAGUAAGAGCUUUCAACGUAAUAGAUCCCCGGUCUCUGUUCUAUCUCCCAGGUCUGCCAACAAGUCAAGGAAGAGGGAACUCCAAUUGCUUUUUUUUGCUUUAGAGGCCUAAAUGUAUUUUUUACGUACAUUUGUAAAAAGUCUGGUUUUUAAAUCUUAGGGUAAAAUUGUAUACAAUGGUGGUUAAGAGUUGAGGCACUGGUGUCCUCAGAUGUUCAACUCUGGCUCUGCCCCUACUGUGUGCGCCUUGAAAAAG